rnacentral:misc_RNA from 1 species
AACGCACCUUGCACCCUUUGGUAUUCCGAAGGGUAUGCCCGUUUGAGUGUCAUUGUAAUCUCACACCCCUAGAUUUAUUUCAAAGGGCGGUGGACUUGGAUGUUGCCGCGUCAAGCGGCUCGUCUUAAAUGCAUUAGUGCAACUUUCGGUUGGACAUAGUACAGCGUGAUAAGUAUCUUCGCUGGCUCUCCUCACGGAGGUGUUCGAACGGUAAGCUCUGUGCUUCUAAUCGUCCCCUGGUGGACUAAGCUUCGGCUUAUUUGACAACUUGACCUCAAAUCGGGUAGGACUACCCGCUGAACUUAA